rnacentral:rRNA from 1 species
GAUGAACGCUGGCGGCGUGCCUAAUACAUGCAAGUCGAGCGAACAGACGAGGAGCUUGCUCCUCUGACGUUAGCGGCGGACGGGUGAGUAACACGUGGAUAACCUACCUAUAAGACUGGGAUAACUUCGGGAAACCGGAGCUAAUACCGGAUAAUAUAUUGAACCGCAUGGUUCAAUAGUGAAAGACGGUUUUGUUGUCACUUAUAGAUGGAUCCGCGCCGCAUUAGCUAGUUGGUAAGGUAACGGCUUACCAAGGCAACGAUGCGUAGCCGACCUGAGAGGGUGAUCGGCCAUACUGGAACUGAGACACGGUCCAGACUCCUACGGGAGGCAGCAGUAGGGAAUCUUCCGCAAUGGGCGAAAGCUUGACGGAGCAACGCCGCGUGAGUGAUGAAGGUCUUCGGAUCGUAAAACUCUGUUAUUAGGGAAGAACAAAUGUGUAAGUAACUAUGCACGUCUUGACGGUACCUAAUCAGAAAGCCACGGCUAACUACGUG